GGGGAAAUAUUGCACAAUGGGGGAAACCCUGAUGCAGCGACGCCGCGUGAGUGAAGAAGUAAUUCGUUACGUAAAGCUCUAUCAGCAGGGAAGAAAUACUGACCUUACGGUCAGCAGACGGUACCUGAGUAAGAAGCCCCGGCUAACUAC
rnacentral:rRNA from 1 species